CCUGCUUCGGCAGGAUCCCAACCCCAAGAAAACAGCGGAGCCCGUCACGGAACAAGGGAGCCUUCCUGACGCUAGUGGGCUGGGCCAGGGGCCUGAAGCCGUGCAACGGAAGACACCUGUGUGCACCUGCCACACGCGACAAACCCAUGGGCACUGUCUGCUUGCUCCUGCCCGAGUAGACCGCCAGCACCUCGAGAGUGGGGCCCACGUCAGUCACGUGGGCAGAAGCGCACGUCAUCAGGCAUCCUCUGCUCGUCCCAGCACAGCACUGCCGAGGCUUCCUGCCUGCCCACUGUCACACGCUCGGGCAAGGCUCACAGAAAGUCCAC